UACGGGGGGGGCAAGCGUUGUUCGGAAUUACUGGGCGUAAAGGGCUCGUAGGCGGCCAACUAAGUCGGAUGUGAAAUCCCCAGGCUUAACCUGGGAACUGCAUCCGAUACUGGAUGGCUUGAAUCCGGGAGAGGGAUGCAGAAUUCCAGGUGUAGCGGUGAAAUGCGUAGAUAUCGGGAGGAACACCUGUGGCGAAGGCGGCCCCCUGGUUGGAUACUGACGCUGAUACGCGAAAGCGUGGGGAGCAAACAGG
rnacentral:rRNA from 1 species